AGCAGGGUGCUGGAUAACGUCCAGUGGGGGCAAAACCCUAAGGAAAGUGCCACAGAAAAUAAACCGCCAAUAGCUAAAUUUGGUAAGGAUGAAACGGUGCGGUAAGAGCGCACCAGAGUUCAGGUGACUGAAUUGCUUGGUAAACCCCACCCGCAGCAAGACCAAAUAGAGGAAGGAUGAAGUUGCUCGCUGACUUCCUGGGUUGGUCGCUGGAGAUGGUAGGCAACUGCCAUACUAGAUAAAUGAUCGUCCUCGACAGAACUCGGCUUAUCGGUUAGCUCGCUUU
rnacentral:RNase_P_RNA from 1 species